rnacentral:misc_RNA from 1 species
CCGACUUCGUUUGCUCACUCAGUUUUUGGAGCAUCUUGUGAGUGAAGGAAGCCAAGAUGUGCAUGUACACAAUGCUCUUGGUAAGAUCAUCAUAGAGAGCAAUAAUAACCCAGAGCAUUUCCUCACGACCAACCCAUAUUAUGACUCUCGUGUUGUGGGUAAAUAUUGUGAGAAGCGUGAUCCGACUCUUGCUGUUGUGGCCUAUAGAAGAGGGCAAUGUGAUGAUGAACUUAUUAAUGUAACAAAUAAGAACUCUCUGUUCAAACUUCAAGCCAGGUAUGUCGUUGAGAGGAUGGAUGGUGAUCUUUGGGAUAAAGUUCUUGUCCCUGAGAAUGAGUUUAGAAGGCAGCUCAUAGAUCAAGUUGUCUCCACUGCUCUGCCUGAAAGCAAGAGUCCAGAACAAGUUUCUGCAGCUGUUAAAGCGUUCAUGACAGCUGAUCUUCCUCAUGAACUGAUUGAGCUUCUUGAAAAGAUUGUGCUCCAAAACUCUGCAUUUAGUGGGAACUUUAAUCUGCAGAAUUUGCUUAUCUUGACAGCCAUUAAAGCUGAUCCAUCUAGAGUUAUGGACUAUAUCAAUAGGCUUGAUAAUUUUGAUGGUCCUGCGGUUGGGGAGGUUGCUGUUGAAGCACAGCUCUAUGAAGAAGCUUUUGCGAUCUUCAAGAAGUUCAACUUGAAUGUUCAGGCUGUCAAUGUUCUGCUUGACAGCAUCCGUGAUAUAAAUCGUGCUGUGGAGUUUGCAUUCCG